rnacentral:lncRNA from 1 species
UGGCUAGUCAGUAUUGAGCCGACUUAGCGUAAUUCAUUUUUACCGGGUCAUAUGACAAACUAUACCUCUUAUGCUUGUAGCCCUUAGGCUGUUGCGAGUAUGGUGGCGGUUGUCGGACCGUGCAGCUCCGAUAAUCGAAUUUCAGCCGAUUAACAUAAUGAUUUUGCCUAAGUCUCACGUUCAACUUGGCACCAUAGCUCUUGGCAGGUGC